UAAACAGGGCGACUCGAAAAUAGGAAGUUUAUCUACAUUGGACUCUUUCGCAGAGACUCUUUUGCUGACAGUCCUAAAAUCAGCCAUGAUGAAGAGGGCUUUUCUGUGGAGAAAAGAGGUGCCACUUCAGAAUAACACUUCUCUUGCUGUCUUGAAAUUCUUUAUUUUUAAACCAGGGGGCCUUUUCCAGUUCGUAUUGGGUCCAGCAAGUCACAAUAACCUGUCCUGACUGCUACAGGGGGACGGGAAGCCCUGGGCUCCCGCAGAGAAUCAGCCUGGAGACCUGCCUUACCUGCCCCCCCACACACACACCUGCCUUUGAUCUACACACUUCUCCACAGUGAGGUUCCGUUCCAGGCACUCGGGAUUCAGCAAUGAGGGCUGCUGGUGUGGAGCUGCUGUGCAGAUGGAGAUGGACUCCAGGGACACCUGACUUCUUAGCACUGGCUGCUACUCUGCCAUGAACCCAAGCUGCCCCACUGAGAGGUCCAUGCAGAGGGACGUGGACAGCUGGUCCUGACUCACCAACCUCAGGAGAACCAUCUGGGAAUGGAUCGGCCAGCCUCAGGUUGAGUCAAAUCCCUCUGGAGAGGAAAUAAGCAGCUCCCACCAACCACUGCUCAAAUCUCACAUUUUUGAGCAGGAAAAAAAAAAAAAAAACAGUGACCA